UACGGAGGGUGCGAGCGUUGUCCGGAAUCACUGGGCGUAAAGGGCGCGUAGGCGGCUCGGUAAGUAGGGGGUGAAAUCCUGCGGCUUAACCGCAGGGCUGCCUUCUAAACUGUCGAGCUCGAGCACGGUAGAGGCAGAUGGAAUUCCCGGUGUAGCGGUGGAAUGCGUAGAGAUCGGGAAGAACAUCAGUGGCGAAGGCGGUCUGCUGGGCCGUUGCUGACGCUGAGGCGCGACAGCGUGGGGAGCAAACAGG
rnacentral:rRNA from 2 species